UGCUCCUAAUGUUUAAGUAAGACUGCAUGAUAUAUUGCCCAGUUUUAAUUUCCCAGCUUCUAAAUAAGCAUCACCUUACUCUACAGGCAGCCCGGCUGACUACCAUAGGCUUGCUUAAAUCGGAAAAGACUACUGAGCAUGAGUAAGAGUGGCAGCAUCUAGCCCUUUCUGACUGAGCCAAGGUCACAAAAGUCACUGCAAAGUCCAGAAGAAGAGCUCCAUGGUUGUGACUGUCAUUUCACUUGCUGGGAAGAACGUGCACUGAGAAGAGCACGCGGACAAGGCAAGCGGUUACAGAAAACAGAGCAAUAUGGACAGGACCACCAGACUCCUUUCUACAUGUGAUCUACAGUGCAUCUGAACACCUGUCUGCAGAAGGUGGCAGGACCUCCUGUGUGGACAAGCUGAUUCAAUAGCUCCCUACAGCGCUGACCUACUGUCCUGCCUUAGAAUGAACAACUGCGUGUAACGCGACAGGCCGUUAUAACAGAAGACUCCUCUCGGCCUCAAAGCUUUUGGGGUCUCCUCUCACCGUAAUCUGGAUCUUAACCCUCUGAUGUACUCAGCCAGCGUUCGCCUGUGAAAUUCCACUGACUUCAGUGGAGUUCCCCAACACGUACUGAGCAAGGAUGUAGAACAUAUUCUGACAUACCCUGUUUUAUUUUUCAACUCAUUGCCUAAAGAACCUUAUCAGUUUUGGACAACUGAAAAGCGAAAAUUUCAGGUGCUUUCCAAUUUCUUUUAAAUGAUUGCUUCUUUUCCUGUUUAUUCUAAUUGGUUUUUAUACUUAUAAUUACCAGCUAUAG